rnacentral:rRNA from 1 species
ACGCUCGACACCUACUGGAGGCAGCAGUGGGGGAAUAUUGCACAAUGGGGGAAACCCUGAUGCAGCGACGCCGCGUGAGCGAAGAAGUAUUUCGGUACGUAAAGCUCUAUCAGCAGGGAAGAAACUGACGGUACCUGACUAAGAAGCACCGGCUAAAUACGUGCCAUCAGCCGCGGUAAUCUGAGCGGGCUGGCAAGGC